CAAAUUUUCUACGGAAGAGAUUAUUUCGCUGGCCUCAGAGUGACAAAACAUAACAAAGCAACGGUUUUACUAACACUAACCCUACUCCAAACACCAACUCUAACCCUAACCUUAAUCCUUACCCUAACCUAACCCUAUGCCAAAUUUGUUUUUAAACCAAUCUUGAAGAAAAAAGUUUUGACGAAAAGUCAUUCUGAGGUCAGCGAAAUAGU
rnacentral:lncRNA from 1 species